GGGUGUAUAGCCCAGUGGGAAAGUGCUUGCCUAGUAUGCAUGAGGCCCUGGGUUCGAUCCCCAGCACCACCA
rnacentral:tRNA from 1 species